rnacentral:rRNA from 1 species
UACGUAGGGGGCGAGCGUUGUCCGGAUUUAUUGGGCGUAAAGAGCUCGUAGGCGGUCUGUCGCGUCGGACGUGAAAAUCAGGGCUCAACCCUGGACCUGCGUUCGAUACGGGCAGACUAGAGUUCGGUAGGGGAGACUGGAAUUCCUGGUGUAGCGGUGAAAUGCGCAGAUAUCAGGAGGAACACCGGUGGCGAAGGCGGUCUCUGGGCCUUGCCUGACGCUGAGGCGCGAAAGCUAGGGGAGCGAACAGG